UUAACUAAAACCAAAAUAGAGGUAUUUCACUGUUAAUGAAAAUAUUGAUUUAUAGAAUCUAGUUAAA
rnacentral:tRNA from 1 species